ACGAAUCGGGGAGACAUGGGGCAGAUGCACGAAUCGGGGAGACAUGGGGCAGAUGCACGAAUCGGGGAGACAUGGGGCAGAUGCACGAAUCGGGGAGACAUGGGGCAGAUGCACGAAGUGUGAUGCAGGACAGGCUUGUGGUGCUUAGCUACAUAAGAUCAUUCUGUAUAAAAAAAGCUUCCCCAUUUAAGUGAACUGGCUUUAAGAGUACUUCAUUUUGCAGAGGCAGCUGUAACUGGCCUUGGCAUUGGAUCCAGGAUAUCCAUUUUGUAUCAAGUGCAAAUUUUGUUAUGUGAUCUACGAUGCCUGGAAAAGUUUGUAGCGAAGAUCACUACAUCUCACAAAAAGACAAACGAAAAAUACAGGUGUUUUUCAUACUGGAGGGACUGCUCUUUUGGCCUUCUAAGAGGAAUACUUCUCAAGGAUAGCAAAGGGAAAUCAAACCUGCAUUGCAAAAAUUUCCAUAUAUAAAUCUUCCAUCAAAUGCGUACAAAUCUUUUAGACGUAUGCGUAACUUCAGUAAAGACAAAUAUAACACCCUAGCCUACUCACACUUUGUUAUUACUUUAGCUAGUUAUAUUUAAAGAAAUGUACAUCCAGCUACCAUCUGCACUGAAGAUACUGUCUUGUCUAGAAGAAAUCUAUAAGCAAUGCUUUCUACCACCUCAAGUUGGCUGACUAUCUUCUCGUAUAAUUGAACCUCCACUAUACAUAAUUGGUUCAGUUUAUCUUGUCAGCAAGAAAAUUUACAAGACAGUAUGUUGGUUCAUAACUUCUAAGACAUUAAAAUUGUCUUCCUUGCUCAUGUGAGUGACUUCCCACAAAAUAACGUGCUAAAAGCAACCUUAACCAUCCUGAAGAUUUUCUGAUCUCCUGCAAUUCAAGCAUGGAUGACAAUGCUGCUGCAGAGCUGUAGAGGGAUGCCUACCACAUACCGAUAGGGUUCAUUUGUUCAGGGAACUGAACUUUCUCAGGUUCGUAGUCCUGUGUUGUUAGCAGAGCAAAAAUGAAUUACAAUUGAUCUGAGCAGGUAAUUACUUGGAAGCUCUUGCCAUAGCUGAUA
rnacentral:lncRNA from 1 species